rnacentral:rRNA from 1 species
ACUCCUACGGGAGGCAGCAGUGGGGAAUCUUGCGCAAUGGGCGAAAGCCUGACGCAGCAACGCCGCGUGGGGGAUGAAGGCUCUCGGGUUGUAAACCCCUUUCAGCAGGGACGAAUCUGACGGUACCUGCAGGAGAAGCCCCGGCCAACUACGUGCCAGCAGCCGCGGUAACACGUAGGGGGCAAGCGUUGUCCGGAUUUAUUGGGCGUAAAGAGCUCGUAGGCGGCUCAGUAAGUCGGGUGUGAAACCUCCAGGCUCAACCUGGAGACGCCACCCGAUACUGCUGUGGCUAGAGUCCGGUAGGGGAGCGUGGAAUUCCUGGUGUAGCGGUGAAAUGCGCAGAUAUCAGGAGGAACACCAGCGGCGAAGGCGGCGCUCUGGGCCGGAACUGACGCUGAGGAGCGAAAGCGUGGGUAGCAAACAGGAUUAGAUACCCUGGUAGUCCACGCCGUAAACGUUGGGCACUAGGUGUGGGUCCCCACCAACGGGAUCA